rnacentral:rRNA from 1 species
UACAGAGGCCCCGAGCGUUAUCCGGAAUCAUUGGGCGUAAAGGGUGUCAAGGCGGUCAGGUUAGUCUUCCGUUAAAUCCAGGAGCUCAACUUCUGGCCUGCGGAGGAAACGGCCUGACUUGAGGUUGGAAGAGGUGCGUGGAACUCACGGUGUAGGGGUGAAAUCCGUUGAUAUCGUGGGGAACACCAAAGGCGAAGGCAGCGCACUGGUCCAAAUCUGACGCUCACACACGAAAGCCAGGGUAGCGAAUGGG